rnacentral:rRNA from 1 species
GAUGAACGCUGGCGGCGUGCCUAAUACAUGCAAGUCGAGCGAACAGACGAGGAGCUUGCUCCUCUGACGUUAGCGGCGGACGGGUGAGUAACACGUGGAUAACCUACCUAUAAGACUGGGAUAACUUCGGGAAACCGGAGCUCAUACCGGAUAAUAUAUUGAACCGCAUGGUUCAAUAGUGAAAGACGGUUUUGCUGUCACUUAUAGAUGUAUCCGCGCCGCAUUAGCUAGUUGGUAAGGUAACGGCUUACCAAGGCAACGAUGCGUAGCCGACCUGAGAGGGUGAUCGGCCACACUGGAACUGAGACACGGUCCAGACUCCUACGGGAGGCAGCAGUAGGGAAUCUUCCGCAAUGGGCGAAAGCCUGACGGAGCAACGCCGCGUGAGUGAUGAAGGUCUUCGGAUCGUAAAACUCUGUUAUUAGGGAAGAACAAAUGUGUAAGUAACUAUGCACGUCUUGACGGUACCUAGUCAGAAAGCCACGGCUAACUACGUG